rnacentral:rRNA from 1 species
UACAGAGGUCCCAAGCGUUGUUCGGAAUCACUGGGCGUAAAGGGCGCGUAGGCGGCGUGGUAAGUCAGAUGUGAAAUCCCGGGGCUCAACCCCGGAACUGCAUCCGAUACUGCCAUGCUAGAGGAUUGGAGAGGUAGCUGGAAUUCUUGGUGUAGCAGUGAAAUGCGUAGAGAUCAAGAGGAACACUCGUGGCGAAAGCGAGCUACUGGACAAUUCCUGACGCUGAGGCUCGAAGGCUAGGGUAGCGAAAGGG